GUACACUCCUGCGGGAGGCAGCAGUGGGGAAUUUUGGACAAUGGGGGCAACCCUGAUCCAGCAAUGCCGCGUGAGUGAAGAAGGCCUUCGGGUUGUAAAGCUCUUUUGUCAGGGAAGAAACGGUAGUAGCGAAUAACUAUUACUAAUGACGGUACCUGAAGAAUAAGCACCGGCUAACUACGUGCCAGCAGCCGCGGUAAUACGUAGGGUGCAAGCGUUAAUCGGAAUUACUGGGCGUAAAGCGUGCGCAGGCGGUUGUGUAAGUCAGAUGUGAAAUCCCCGGGCUCAACCUGGGAAUUGCAUUUGAGACUGCACGGCUAGAGUGUGUCAGAGGGGGGUAGAAUUCCACGUGUAGCAGUGAAAUGCGUAGAUAUGUGGAGGAAUACCGAUGGCGAAGGCAGCCCCCUGGGAUAACACUGACGCUCAUGCACGAAAGCGUGGGGAGCAAACAGGAUUAGAAACCCCUGUAGUCCCA
rnacentral:rRNA from 1 species